GUGUCUCUUGCCCACCAGUCUGUGACUUCCUUGACAACAAAGUUUUGGACCACUAAAUCAAUGCCUAGAGUAUGGUUGAUGCUGAACAAAGGAAGAUCAUAUCAGCGAUCAUUUCUGCAUCUUCUUCAGGGGAGGAGACAAAGCUUCACCCCAUUCCUGAAGCUUAGAAUAUCUGGAAAAUCACUCAGUCUGUGUAGCCAAUUCAUCACGUAGAUGCAGAUGUGCCACCUCAAAAGCAUAUCCCACCCACUGUAAGUACAUAUUCAUGUGCCCCUUGCUAGAGAAACAGGUGAGCUGAUUGGUUCAGGGCAUAUAACCAGUCCAGAAGCUGCCAGCCACAAAAACUCUGAGCUCUGUCAUUACUGUAUUGAAAUGAGUAAUUGUAUAUACUAAUAUAAAGGGGGAAGAAAGUUGUGCUUGCCCAUUAAAGACACCAGAUGGAAGUAAAAAAUAGUCCUGAGGACAAACAGAAUAGAAAAGAAAUGAGAGU
rnacentral:lncRNA from 1 species